rnacentral:snRNA from 1 species
GAGUAUCGCAGCUCUUUUAGAAUUUGUCUGGCAGGCUUUCCGGUCUUUACUGGAAGACCCCC